GACGAACGCUGGCGGCGUGCCUAAUACAUGCAAGUCGAGCGAAGUUUUUCUGGUGUUUGCACUAGAAAAACUUAGCGGCGAACGGGUGAGUAACACGUAAAGAACCUGCCUCAUUGACUGGGCCAAAUAUUGGAAACGCUAGCUCAUACCGGAUACCAGUAUUUCUCGCAUGAGGGAGAUUUAAAUGUUUGUUUUGCUAACAAUAUGAGAUGGCUUUGCGUUGCAUUAGGUCAGUGGUGGGGUAAAGGCCCACCAAGGCGACGAGGCAUAGCCGACCUGAGAGGGUGAUCGGCCACACUGGGACUGAGACACGGCCCAGACUCCUACGGGAGGCAGCAGUAGGGAAUCUUCCGCAAUGGGCGAAAGCCUUACGGAGCAACGCCGCGUGAGAGAAGAAGGAUUUCGGUUCGUAAAGCUCUGUUGUGAGGGAAGAAUGGAUAUGUAGUAACUAUACAUGUAAGAGACGGUACCUAACCAGAAAGCCACGGCUAACUACGUG
rnacentral:rRNA from 1 species